rnacentral:rRNA from 1 species
GACGAACGCUGGCGGCGUGCCUAAUACAUGCAAGUCGAACGCAGUUGCGAACGGGUGAGUAACGCGUAGGUAACUGCCUCUUAGCGGGGGAUAACUAUUGGAAACGAUAGCUAAUACCGCAUACUGUGAGAUUGGCUUGCGUUGUAUUAGGUUGUUGGGGAGGUAAAGGCUCACCCAGGCGAAGAUACAUAGCCGGACUGGGAGGGUGAUCGGCCACACUGGGAAUGAGACACGGGUCAGAAGUCUUCGGGAGGGCAGAAUAGGGGAUCUUCCGGAAUGGAGGGAAGGCUGGACGGGCAAAGGCGCGGGAGGUGAGGAAGGUUUUGGAACGGAAAGCUCCGUUGUUAGGGAAGCGGUAACUAACCAGAAAGGGACGGCUAACUACGUGCCAGCAGCCGCGGUAAUUC